UUGACCUCAAAUCAGGUAGGACUACCCGCGAAGGA
rnacentral:rRNA from 1 species